rnacentral:rRNA from 1 species
UACGGGAGGCAGCAGUGGGGAAUUUUGGACAAUGGGCGAAAGCCUGAUCCAGCAAUGCCGCGUGUGUGAAGAAGGCCUUCGGGUUGUAAAGCACUUUUGUCCGGAAAGAAAACCUCCGCCCUAAUAUGGUGGGGGGAUGACGGUACCGGAAGAAUAAGCACCGGCUAACUACGUGCCAGCAGCCGCGGUAAUACGUAGGGUGCAAGCGUUAAUCGGAAUUACUGGGCGUAAAGCGUGCGCAGGCGGUCCGCUAAGACAGAUGUGAAAUCCCCGGGCUUAACCUGGGAACUGCAUUUGUGACUGGCGGGCUAGAGUAUGGCAGAGGGGGGUAGAAUUCCACGUGUAGCAGUGAAAUGCGUAGAGAUGUGGAGGAAUACCGAUGGCGAAGGCAGCCCCCUGGGCCAAUACUGACGCUCAUGCACGAAAGCGUGGGGAGCAAACAGGAUUAGAUACCCUGGUAGUCCACGCCCUAAACGAUGUCAACUAGUUGUUGGGGAUUCAUUUCCUUAGUAACGUAGCUAACGCGUGAAGUUGACCGCCUGGGGAGUACGGUCGCAAGAUUAAAACUCAAAGGAAUUGACGGGGACCCGCACAAGCGGUGGAUGAUGUGGAUUAAUUCGAUGCAACGCGAAAAACCUUACCUACCCUUGACAUGUAUGGAAUCCUGCUGAGAGGUGGGAGUGCCCGAAAGGGAGCCAUAACACAGGUGCUGC